rnacentral:rRNA from 1 species
UACGGGGGGAGCAAGCGUUGUUCGGAUUCACUGGGCGUAAAGGGCGCGUAGGCGGCGCAACAAGUCACUUGUGAAAUCUCCGGGCUUAACCCGGGGCGGUCAAGUGAUACUGUCGUGCUAGAGUGCGGAAGGGGCUACUGGAAUUCUCGGUGUAGCGGUGAAAUGCGUAGAUAUCGAGAGGAACACCUGCGGCGAAGGCGGGUAGCUGGGCCGACACUGACGCUGAUGCGCGAAAGCCAGGGGAGCGAACGGG